GUGAGUAAUGCCUAGGGAACUGCCCAGUCGAGGGGGAUAACAGUUGGAAACGACUGCUAAUACCGCAUACGCCCUACGGGGGAAAGGAGGGGCUCUUCGGACCUUUCGCGAUUGGAUGUACCUAGGUGGGAUUAGCUUGUUGGUGAGGUAANAGCUCACCAAGGCGACGAUCCCUAGCUGUUCUGAGAGGAUGAUCAGCCACACUGGGACUGAGACACGGCCCAGACUCCUACGGGAGGCAGCAGUGGGGAAUAUUGCACAAUGGGCGAAAGCCUGAUGCAGCCAUGCCGCGUGUGUGAAGAAGGCCUUCGGGUUGUAAAGCACUUUCAGCGAGGAGGAAAGGUUAACGGUUAAUACCCGUUAGCUGUGACGUUACUCGCAGAAGAAGCACCGGCUAACUUCGUGCCAGCAGCCGCGGUAAUACGAGGGGUGCAAGCGUUAAUCGGAAUUACUGGGCGUAAAGCGUACGCAGGCGGUUUGUUAAGCGAGAUGUGAAAGCCCCGGGCUCAACCUGGGAACUGCAUUUCGAACUGGCAAACUAGAGUCUUGUAGAGGGGGGUAGAAUUUCAGGUGUAGCGNUGAAAUGCGUANAGAUCUGAAGGAAUACCGGUGGCGAANGCGGCCCCCUGGACAAAGACUGACGCUCNNGUACGAAAGCGUGGGGAGCAAACAGGAUUANAUACCCUGNNAGNCCNCGCCGNNAACGAUGUCUACUCGGNAUUUG
rnacentral:rRNA from 1 species